rnacentral:rRNA from 1 species
UACGUAGGCAGCGAGCGUUGUUCGGAAUUACUGGGCGUAAAGAGUGUGUAGGCGGUGCUCUAAGUUCGGUGUGAAAUCUCCUGGCUCAACUGGGAGGGUGCGCCGGAAACUGGAGUGCUUGAGCGUGGGAGAGGAAAGCGGAAUUCCUGGUGUAGCGGUGAAAUGCGCAGAUAUCAGGAGGAACACCGAUGGCGAAGGCAGGUCUCUGGGCAUUAACUGACGCUGAGGAGCGAAAGCAUGGGGAGCGAACAGG